rnacentral:rRNA from 1 species
GACGGGGCCGCACAAGCGGUGGAGCAUGUGGUUUAAUUCGAAGCAACGCGAAGAACCUUACCAGGUCUUGACAUCCCCUGACAACCAAGAGAUUGGGCGUUCCCCUUCGGGGGACAGGGUGACAGGUGGUGCAUGGUUGUCGUCAGCUCGUGUCGUGAGAUGUUGGGUUAAGUCCCGCAACGAGCGCAACCCUCGACCUUAGUUGCCAGCAUUCAGUUGGGCACUCUAAGGUGACUGCCGGCUAAAAGUCGGAGGAAGGUGGGGAUGACGUCAAAUCAUCAUGCCCCUUAUGACCUGGGCUACACACGUGCUACAAUGGGCGGUACAAAGGGUCGCGAACCCGCGAGGGGGAGCCAAUCCCAAAAAGCCGCUCUCAGUUCGGAUUGCAGGCUGCAACUCGCCUGCAUGAAGCCGGAAUCGCUAGUAAUCGUGAAUCAGAAUGUCCACGGUCGAAUACGUUCCGGGCCUU